AGCCAUGCAGCUGCCAUUUUGGAUCUGAGAGAGUUGGCCAUGCAGCAGCGUUUCGGAUCCGAGAGCUGGCCAUGCAGCAGCCAUUAAGGAUCCAAGAGUCGGUCAUGUAGCAGCCAUUUCGGAUCUGAGAGAGUCGGCCAUGCAGCAGCCGUUUGGGAUCUGAGAGUCGGCCAUGCAGCAGCCGUUUGGGAUCUGAGAGAGUCGGCCAUGCAGCAGCCAUUUGUGCAUGCUUCCCUUCUCCCAGCCCCACAGGAGACUGACUCUGCAUCCUGCCUCCUUUCAAAUGCAUCCUGUGCCAACAGUUUCUGAAAACGGAUAAACAAAUUGACAACCUCAAAUGCAAAGAUGAAACAUUUCUCCAGAUCAUCAGGCACAUGGUUUACUCAGGCCCAGAGGAGUGAGCUGAUAUAAAGAAGCUGUGCCACACAGUCGGAUGGGGUCCGAAGGAAACAAUAGGGCUGAGUGAUGAGUAUUGAAGAAGAAAUCUAAAGAAAGAAUGUCUUAUCAGCUGACCGCAAAGCUGCCUCCUUCUACCUGGCCACAUUGCUUAUCUAUUGUACUGCGUCUCUCUUGGAUGGAAACGAUACACCAAUCACUCAUAAGUGAAUAAUUUCCUUCUAAAUCACAGGCCUACACCUGAGGUGGCUGCCACAGGUGUAACCUGUUUAGACCAGCAAUUAUAUUUACUCCAUGAUGACAGAAAACAGGAAAGAUGUAUCAUACAGUGCAUUUGCUCCUGCUAUUUAUAAAUAGACCUCUUUACAUUAGCACUACAUAUGACUGUCUCAUCCACUUAUCAGCAAUUUAAUAUAUCACAGACAACAUGGGUUAAAAGCAAAAUAAGUUUCAAACACUAACCUCAGUUUACUCAUAAAUAUUUCACUUCUACAAACCUUGUUUAUUCAAGCUAUGGUUCUAUACAAAUUGGCAAGUCAUUCUUUAUUUUACUUUUCUGUGGUUCUAGACCCUUCUAGACUAAAGAUCUCUGACUUUACUGCUGCCUUUUCUAGAUGUUUUCCUGAGUACACAUGUGAGCUUAUUGUUAACAUCAGUCUCUUUCCCUUUAAGAACUGGUUUUUUUCUGAUGGCUGUGGUCUAAGAGAGCUCACUCUGGAUUUCUCUCUGUUAGUUUUCUAACAUAACCCACAGUGAUAAAUCUAUUUUAUGUUGGGAAUAAGGGAAUAUUUAUACGUAAAGUCAAACAAAAUUGAAGUUUACUUAUGCUUUUUUGCACUUUGAUAUUUUCUAUAUAUUCUGCCAUGUUCCCUAAUAUUCUCUGUUAUUCUAUUUUAUUUUUAAGAAAAUGAUUGGUCUCUACCCUCACAAUGAUUCUGCAAUCCACUGUGGGAACAUGACGCACAGCCUCGAGCCACUGUGGGAGCUUCCUCAUCAGAAGGGAGGGGUACCAGGGGGUGUGGUGAUGUGGCCCUAGGUGCGGGAAUUUCCAAAAGGGAAGCUCUGGUAGCAGCCUCUCAUCUAUAGUAUCAUAUUUUCAGUGUCAUCGUAACGCAGAGAAGUAGAAGAUUCAAGACUUUGGAAAACAGCCAUUUUCUCUCAAUUACAAGAAUAAUAACAGUAUUUGAAAGAUCCUAAAAGUGGUGAAGAUGGAGUAAGUGUUUGGUAGGGAAUCCCUGCCCUGGCUGAUCAUUAUGUCUGCCUUGGCUGUACAUGUGAUCUUGGUGGCAUUUCUGGACUAUCACCCAGAGAGGUGGGUUAAGACUGGUUAAGACCGCAGAGUCAGACCGCUUGGAGUUGAAUCCUGACACCACCGCAUUCUAGCUGUGUGACUUUAGAAAGUCCCUUAGCCUCUAUGAAAUUUAGUUUGCUCAAUCAGAAAAAGAGAAUAAUGACACUGUUCAUCUUACAGAAUUGUUGCAAGGAUUAAAUAAACUAUCAGAUGGAA
ensembl:lncRNA LINC01898 long intergenic non-protein coding RNA 1898